AGAGUUUGAUUAUGGCUCAGGAUGAACGCUGGCGGCGUGCCUAACACAUGCAAGUCGAGCGAUUCUCUUCGGAGAAGAGCGGCGGACGGGUGAGUAACGCGUGGGUAACCUGCCUCAUACACAUGGAUAACAUACCGAAAGGUAUGCUAAUACAGGAUAAUAUAAGAGAUUCACAUGGAUUUCUUAUCAAAGCUCCGGCGGUAUGAGAUGGACCCGCGUCUGAUCAGCUAGUUGGUAAGGUAACGGCUUACCAAGGCGACGAUCAGUAGCCGACCUGAGAGGGUGAUCGGCCACAUUGGAACUGAGACACGGUCCAAACUCCUACGGGAGGCAGCAGUGGGGAAUAUUGCACAAUGGGCGAAAGCCUGAUGCAGCAACGCCGCGUGAGUGAUGAGGGCCUUCGGGUCGUAAAACUCUGUCCUCAAGGAAGAUAAUGACGGUACUUGAGGAGGAAGCCCCGGCUAACUACGUGCCAGCCGCCGC
rnacentral:rRNA from 1 species